rnacentral:rRNA from 1 species
UCGGGAAUAUUGCACAAUGGAGGAAACUCUGAUGCAGUGACGCCGCGUACAGGAAGAAGGUCUUUGGAUUGUAAACUGUUGUCGAAAGGGAAGAAAAAAGACAGUACCUUUGGAGGAAGCUCCGGCAAACUACGUGCCAGCAGCCGCGGUAAUACGUAGGGAGCGAGCGUUAUCCGGAUUUAUUGGGUGUAAAGGGCGCGUAGACGGUAUAACAAGUUGGUUGUGAAAUCCCGAGGCUCAACUUCGGAACCGCAACCAAAACUGUUUAACUUGAGUAUGGGAGAGGAAAGCGGAAUUCCUAGUGGAGCGGUGAAAUGCGUAGAUAUUAGGAGGAACACCAGUGGCGAAGGCGGCUUUCUGGACCAUAACUGACGUUGAGGCGCGAAAGUGUGGGGAGCAAACAGGAUUAGAUACCCUGGUAGUCCACACCGUAAACGAUGGAUACUAGGUGUAGGAUGGAUUAAACCGUUCUGUGCCGGCGCUAACGCAAUAAGUAUCCCACCUGAGUAGUACGACCGCAAGGUUAAAACUCAAAGGAAUUGACGGGGGCCCGCACAAGCAGUGGAGUAUGUGGUUUAAUUCGACGCAACGCGAAGAACCUUACCAGGGCUUGACAUAUACAGGAAUACUUAAGAGAUUAAGUAGCUCUUCGGAGCUUGUAUACAGGUGGUGCAUGGUUGUCGUCAGCUCGUGUCGUGAGAUGUUGGGUUAAGUCCCGCAACGAGCGCAACCCCUGUUGUUAGUUGCCAGCAAGUAAAGUUGGGAACUCUAACGAGACUGCCGGUGAUAAAUCGGAGGAAGGUGGGGACGAUGUCAAAUCAUCAUGCUCUUUAUGUCCUGGGCUACACACGUACUACAAUGGCAAGUACAGAGGGAAGCGAAACCGCGAGGUUGAGCAAAACCCAAAAAGUUGUCUCAGUUCAGAUUGCAGUCUGAAAUUCGACUGUAUGAAGAUGGAAUUGCUAGUAAUUGCAGGUCAGCAUACUGCAGUGAAUACGUUCUC